UUAUCGGAGAGUUUGAUCCUGGCUCAGGACGAACGCUGGCGGCGUGCCUAAUACAUGCAAGUCGAGCGGACAGAUGGGAGCUUGCUCCCUGAUGUUAGCGGCGGACGGGUGAGUAACACGUGGGUAACCUGCCUGUAAGACUGGGAUAACUCCGGGAA
rnacentral:rRNA from 3 species